UACGAAGGGGGCUAGCGUUGUUCGGAGUUACUGGGCGUAAAGGGCGCGUAGGCGGCUGUCCAAGUCAGGUGUGAAAGCCCGGGGCUCAACCCCGGAAAUGCACUUGAGACUGGGCGGCUUGAGGACGGGAGAGGAUAGUGGAAUUCCCAGUGUAGAGGUGAAAUUCGUAGAUAUCGGGAGGAACACCGGUGGCGAAGGCGGCGAUCUGGGUAGAUACUGACGCUGAGGUGCGAAAGCGUGGGGAGCAAACAGG
rnacentral:rRNA from 1 species